rnacentral:rRNA from 1 species
ACGGGCGAGUAAUGCAUAUUUAACUUACUUCCGCGAGUAGGAUAGCAGCCCGAAAGGGCUAUUAAUACUACAUAGGUUUAUGGACUUGUAAAUUAAAGGAGGCGCCCUCGGGAGCCUCGCGCGGAAAAGGGAAUAUGUCCUAUUAGGUAGUUGGCGGGGUAAAGGCCCACCAAGCCAAUGAUGGGUAGCUGGACUGAGAGGUUGAACAGCCGCAAUGGGAUUGAGAUAUGGCCCAUAUUCCUACGGGAAGCAGCAGUGAGGAAUUUUUCACAAUGGACGAAAGUCUGAUGGAGCAAUACCACGUGAACGAUGAAGGUCUUCUGAUUGUAAAGUUCUUUUAUUUAGGAAAAAAAGCGCGCUAGGAAAUGAGCGCGCCUUGAUGGUACUAAUUGAAUAAGUGACAGCUAACUAUGUGCCCGCAGCUGCGGUAAAACAUAGGUCACAAGCAUUAUCCGGAUUUAUUGGGCGUAAAGGAAGCGUAGGCGGGGAGGCUGAUCCAUUGUUAAAGGCAUUUGCUCAACAAAUGUGUGCGAUGGAGAUCUCCUCCCUAGAGUUAAUCAGGGGGUACUGGAAUUCAAUGUGUAGCGGUGGAAUGCGUAGAUAUAUUGAGGAACACCAGAGGCUAAGGCGAGUACCUGGGAUAUAACUGACGCUGAGGCUUGAAAGCGUGGGGAGCAAAUGGGAUUAGAUACCCCAGUAGUCCACGCCGUAAACGAUGAGCAUUAGGUAUUUGAUGUUAGGUCGAGUGCUGUAGCUAACGCGUUAAAUGCUCCGCCUGGGUAGUAUAUAUGCAAAUAUGAAACUCAAAGAAAUUGACGGGGACCUGAACAAGUGGUGGAGCAUGUUGCUUAAUUCGAUAAUACACGAAAAACCUUACCAAGGCUUGUUAUCUACUGCAAAACUAUAGAAAUAUGGUGGAGUAUAUCAGUAAGACAGGUGGUGCAUGGCUGUCGUCAGCUCGUGUCUUGAGAUGUUUGGUUAAGUCCCGUAACGAGCGCAACCCUACUCUCUAGUUAAUUAGUUCUAGAGUGACUGAAUCGUAAGAUAUAGGAAGGAUGGGGCCAAGUCAAGUCAUCAUGC